ACGAACGCUGGCGGCGUGCUUAACACAUGCAAGUCGAACGGUGAAGCGCCUUCCUUUUUGGUGGGUGUGGAUGAGUGGCGAACGGGUGAGUAACACGUGAGUAACCUGCCCCCUUCUUCUGGAUAACCGCAUGAAAGUGUGGCUAAUACGGGAUAUUCUGGGUCUGUCGCAUGAUGGGUCUGGGAAAGAUAUUGUUUCGGUGGGGGAUGGGCUCGCGGCCUAUCAGCUUGUUGGUGGGGUGAUGGCCUACCAAGGCGGUGACGGGUAGCCGGCCUGAGAGGGUGGACGGUCACACUGGGACUGAGACACGGACCAGACUCCUACGGGAGGCAGCAGUGGGGAAUAUUGCACAAUGGGCGCAAGGCUGAUGCAGCGACGCCGCGUGAGGGAUGGAGGCCUUCGGGUUGUGAACCUCUUUCGCCAGUGAAGCAGGCCUGCCUCGUUUGUGGGUGGGUUGACGGUAGCUGGAUAAGAAGCGCCGGCUAACUACGUG
rnacentral:rRNA from 1 species